AUUAUAUUAAUCGAUUACUGAUUAGUAUACAAUCUCGGAAAUGAUCAAAGUGAAUUUUAUUUUUGUGAAAAUAUAUUUGGCAACACUGGAUAAGAUCCAUUUUAAUCAUGGAAUAAAUUCACUCUGAGGGGAUGAGAGAGAGAGAGAGCGCCCGCGGGAGAAUGUGGUGGUUGCCAAGGGUUUGGAAGAUGGGUUAAAAUUAUAACAGGGACGAGAAGCGAUGGGGGAUGAUAGCAGUGGUGUCUCGCCAUAGAGGAGCAGAAAGAUACAGAGACGGAGUUGGGGCAUGGUUGAAAGAAGCAGCACUUGCACUUGCAGUGGGGAUCAAUUCGUAACUCGCCGGAAUGCUCUUGUGUGAUGGUAAAUGCUCUUCAAUAUUCUUCGAUUCACAAAGCUGCUCAUGGGCAGGAAGCAUUGCCAAUGGACUCCUGAAGAAUGAAGUGCUUCAUUUGAUGUUUCAGGCUUUCCAUGUACCUUUAAUCUUCAUUCUCUUUCAUUUGUUGUGUAUUUGCAUAAGCUUUUGAACUUUGGGGAAAUGUUAUUAUCAAGUUUACUUAGCUGGUGUUAACCGUUUGGAUUGGGUUCACAACCACGGCUUAGAUUUUGAGUCCCUGUUAUCUAUUGUUUGUGUUUCUAUAAUGGGGAGUCUUCGAGUACUCUUUUACUGAACCAUAUUUCCAUCUGAAUUGAAAAAUACUUCUGUCUUAUGGAGUGUUCAUGAGAGCCUGAUUUUUGUUUUGUUCUUUUCAAUGAAAGAGGUUUCCGAGCGACACCCCAAUCAUGUGCAUUGGCUGCUUACUGAAACGACUUGGUUCCUAGCAUACACAUCCUUCGACGUCUGAACUUGAAAUCCUACACGCAAUAUGCAUGUGUAAAAUAACAUUUGACAGAUAAUAAAACUAUCAAACCCGAUUCAAAUAGUCAGACUAACUGGUCGUUUUAUUGGAUAAUAUUUUUUUCUACAUCGAUUAUAUAUCUCUUUCUGGCUUCUUUAUUCCCAAGUUUCAGGUUCUUCUCAAUUUCUGACAGUUCCAGGGCCAGGGCAGCAAGUUAUAAAGGUAGCAGAAGUAAUUUUCCGAUCGGCUUCUUCCUUUUUCUUUUCCAAUUGGGUUCAUCAUAUCUGUAACUUGGAUUAUCAUUACAACUCCAAUUUGCUCAAGAAAAGCGUGGGGAGUACUAAUUCCUUAUCGUAUAAUAGUUGCUAUAGAAUAGUUAUACACAUCCAUUGAUGUCGUAAUGGUGAAAAACUAUAAUCUGUGUGCAUGCUUAAUCCAACACACAGUACUUGUAAUACAUUUGUAGCCAAUCAUUCUUGGUUUUCAUUGUUAAGCUUGUCAUUGUGGACCUUGUUAGUUAUAUAUCAUAACUCUUCAUAUGCCACUUAUCUAAAGCAAUGAAAUGACAUGGUAGGGAGAUUGUUGUUGAUGUUGACAAUUCAGAUGCACUCUGAAGAUAGCCUCUGUGAUGUGAGAUAGCGAAUGAGUGGAUUGAGUUGUUAUUAUUAUUAUUAUUUUUUCAUGUGUUGCGAGAACUUGCACUACUCUAUAUGUAGGGGGAAGGGGCAGGGACAGGGACGUGGGGUAUAAACCACCACGGCAACACUUCUCGCCUGUAGUGAAGUUUGGACCUAAGACCUCCCAGUUUAGAGGAUUAAUGAAGUGCAUCUGGGCUAGAGCCCAUUGGGAAGGAGUGGAUUGAUUGAGUAGGUGAAGAAGUGAUUCUGGUCUGGUCUGGUCAUCUACUACAAGAAGGGUAGAUUGGUCAUCAAUGUGGUAUGGAGCUCCCUCGUUUUGCAAUAAUGGCUUUGAAGAUUGUUAGUAUUUUGCUUCCAUUAAUGUCUGUACUGUGCUCUUUGAUGCAUUAAAUGUGAACAUCCUAUAAUUGGUAGAACUGUAGGCCCCUUUCUCCUUUUUAUUGCUACUCCAUGUAAGAGCCAAGUAAUUUUGCAUGGCAUGAUACUUUGUUUUGACAGUUUAUUACUUCAUAGAAGUGUGGAGGAAAAUGCGACCAGGCGUAGCAACACUCCUUUGUGCAUGAUUACAGGGAUUUUAGACCUGUCGAAGAUCCCGAAAGAGAGCAAAAAAACAUAACAACUACGUCUCACCCAGAGCAAGCGGCCAAUGGACGAGGAGAGUGGAAGACAGGGUUGAGUUGAAUGAUACUCCUACUUAAGUAAAGCUUAAGAGGUAAGCAAGAGGUCAAAGUGCAUAGGUGGCAUUCAAACUGGUGGUCCACGGAUAUUGCCUGGUGCUGUAUCAGAUCCAGACCCUAAUAACAGAUGUGAAGAAGGACACCUCUUUGUCCGUUACCAUAUUUUUUCCUCAGUGUUUUUAAUGAGCCAUUGAUGGUGGAAGUAGGUGGAUUGAUCUUUUUUAGUAUUCUUUUACUGAAAUGUUUACUCCAUCACGAUAUCUAGCUGGGUGGCUUACAGGAUGAAAUCCUAUGCUGAACAAUUUCUUUGUUGCCUCUUAAUGUGGUGUCAUGUCUUCAGGAAAAUUUGUGCACAGAAAUGACUGCUCUGAGGAAAUUUUACCACCGAAAGAAUGUCCUUUCUAUACCUCCAAAAUCCGAGGAACUAAAGGGACGUCAUAGCCCUCUUUUAUAAUUCACAAAUGUAAUUUCUACUUAUGCCCCUAGUUGGGAUUGUAAUCUUGUGUCUUAAUUUUUUAAGUUAAAAAAAUACUGUAAAUAAAAGAAGAAAGAAUGCUCAUUGAUUCC